rnacentral:tRNA from 11 species
GCCGCCGUGGUGAAAUCGGUAGACACGCUGCUCUUAGGAAGCAGUGCUAGUGCAUCUCGGUUCGAGUCCGAGCGGCGGCA